rnacentral:rRNA from 1 species
AGUGAACGCUGGCGGUAGGCCUAACACAUGCAAGUCGAACGGCAGCACAGUAAGAGCUUGCUCUUACGGGUGGCGAGUGGCGGACGGGUGAGGAAUACAUCGGAAUCUACUUUUUCGUGGGGGAUAACGUAGGGAAACUUACGCUAAUACCGCAUACGACCUACGGGUGAAAGCAGGGGAUCUUCGGACCUUGCGCGAUUGAAUGAGCCGAGGUCGGAUUAGCUAGUUGGCGGGGUAAAGGCCCACCAAGGCGACGAUCCGUAGCUGGUCUGAGAGGAUGAUCGGCCACACUGGAACUGAGACACGGUCCAGACUCCUACGGGAGGCAGCAGUAGGGAAUAUUGGGCAAUGGGCGCAAGCCUGAUCCAGCCAUACCGCGUGGGUGAAGAAGGCCUUCGGGUUGUAAAGCCCUUUUGUUGGGAAAGAAAAGCAGCAGGUUAAUACCCCGCUGUUCUGACGGUACCCAAAGAAUAAGCACCGGCUAACUUCGUG